GGCAAUGUGGUAUAGCGGUUUGAGUGUUGGACUAUAAUUCUGGAGACCAGGAUUUGAUUCCCUGCUCAGCCA